UUUUUUUUUACUUUUUUUAUGUUUCAAAAUUUGAAAUCUUAUCCCAAACCCCACUCUAAACCCUAAAACCUAAACUUUAAACCCUAAACUCUAAACCCUAAACCCUAAAUCCUAAACCCCACCCCUUAACUCGAAACCCUAAACCCUAAACCCUAAACUCCACCUCUAAACUCUAAACCUUAAACGCUAAACACUAAACCCCACCUCUUAACUCUAAACCUCACCCCACCUCUAAACUCUAAACUCUAAACUCUAAACUCUAAACUCUAAACCCUAAACCCUAAACUCUAAACCCUAAACCCUAAAUCCUAAACCUCACCCCUUAACUCGAAACCCUAAACCCUAAACCCUAAACCCCACCUCUAAACUCUAAACCCUAAACCCUAAACCCUAAACCCUAAACCCCACCUCUAAACCCUAAACCCUAAACCCUAAACCCUAAACCCUAAACCCUAAACCCUAAACCCUAAACCUUAA
rnacentral:lncRNA from 1 species